UGGGGAAUUUUGGACAAUGGGCGAAAGCCUGAUCCAGCAAUGCCGCGUGUGUGAAGAAGGCCUUCGGGUUGUAAAGCACUUUUGUCCGGAAAGAAAUCCUCUGGGUUAAUACCUCGGGGGGAUGACGGUACCGGAAGAAUAAGCACCGGCUAACUACGUGCCAGCAGCCGCGGUAAUACGUAGGGUGCAAGCGUUAAUCGGAAUUACUGGGCGUAAAGCGUGCGCAGGCGGUUUUGUAAGACGGAUGUGAAAUCCCCGGGCUUAACCUGGGAACUGCAUUCGUGACUGCAAGGCUAGAGUAUGGCAGAGGGGGGUAGAAUUCCACGUGUAGCAGUGAAAUGCGUAGAGAUGUGGAGGAAUACCGAUGGCGAAGGCAGCCCCCUGGGCCAAUACUGACGCUCAUGCACGAAAGCGUGGGGAGCAAACAGGAUUAGAUACCCUGGUAGUCCACGCCCUAAACGAUGUC
rnacentral:rRNA from 1 species